GACGAACGCUGGCGGCGUGCCUAAUACAUGCAAGUUGAGCGCUGAAGGUUGGUACUUGUACCAACUGGAUGAGCAGCGAACGGGUGAGUAACGCGUGGGGAAUCUGCCUUUGAGCGGGGGACAACAUUUGGAAACGAAUGCUAAUACCGCAUAAAAACUUUAAACACAAGUUUUAAGUUUGAAAGAUGCAAUUGCAUCACUCAAAGAUGAUCCCGCGUUGUAUUAGCUAGUUGGUGAGGUAAAGGCUCACCAAGGCGAUGAUACAUAGCCGACCUGAGAGGGUGAUCGGCCACAUUGGGACUGAGACACGGCCCAAACUCCUACGGGAGGCAGCAGUAGGGAAUCUUCGGCAAUGGACGAAAGUCUGACCGAGCAACGCCGCGUGAGUGAAGAAGGUUUUCGGAUCGUAAAACUCUGUUGGUAGAGAAGAACGUUGGUGAGAGUGGAAAGCACAUCAAGUGACGGUAACUACCCAGAAAGGGACGGCUAACUACGUA
rnacentral:rRNA from 1 species